rnacentral:rRNA from 1 species
GACGAACGCUGGCGGCGUGCUUAACACAUGCAAGUCGAGCGGUAAGGCCCUUUCGGGGGUACACGAGCGGCGAACGGGUGAGUAACACGUGGGUGACCUGCCUUUAGCUCUGGGAUAAGCCUGGGAAACUGGGUCUAAUACCGGAUAUGACCCUAUGGCGCAUGUUGUGGGGUGGAAAGCCUUGUGCGGCUAGGGAUGGGCCCGCGGCCUAUCAGCUUGUUGGUGGGGUGAUGGCCUACCAAGGCGACGACGGGUAGCCGGCCUGAGAGGGCGACCGGCCACACUGGGACUGAGACACGGCCCAGACUCCUACGGGAGGCAGCAGUGGGGAAUCUUGCGCAAUGGGCGAAAGCCUGACGCAGCGACGCCGCGUGAGUGAUGAAGGCCUUAGGGUUGUAAAGCUCUUUUACCCGGGAAGAUAAUGACGGUACCGGGAGAAUAAGCCCCGGCUAACUUCGUGCCAGCAGCCGCCGUAAC